rnacentral:rRNA from 1 species
GACGAACGCUGGCGGCGUGCUUAACACAUGCAAGUCGAACGAUGACGACCGAGCUUGCUCGGUCUGAUUAGUGGCGAACGGGUGAGUAACACGUGAGCAACCUGCCCUUCACUCUGGGAUAACCUCGGGAAAUCGGGGCUAAUACCGGAUAUGAGCUCCUGUCGCAUGGCGGGUGUUGGAAAGUUUUUCGGUGAAGGAUGGGCUCGCGGCCUAUCAGUUUGUUGGUGAGGUAGUGGCUCACCAAGGCGAUGACGGGUAGCCGGCCUGAGAGGGCGACCGGCCACACUGGGACUGAGACACGGCCCAGACUCCUACGGGAGGCAGCAGUGGGGAAUAUUGCACAAUGGGCGAAAGCCUGAUGCAGCGACGCCGCGUGAGGGAUGACGGCCUUCGGGUUGUAAACCUCUUUCAGCAGGGAAGAAGCGAAAGUGACGGUACCUGCAGAAGAAGCGCCGGCUAACUACGU